UAAGGGAUAAUGUACCCCCUACUGUAAAUGAUAAGGAUAUUAGCAGUCACUGAGGGGUGCAACUGUAAUUGCUAGUGAAAACAGCAUUCUGUCUGGUGCAUGCAUUCUCUGCAUUUGUUGUUCUGACUCCUGAACAAUGGACUUCUUAUUCCAGAAACUUCAAGAAUGGAAUUUAAUGGAGAAACAGUAUUCAAAAAACAAAAGCAAACUUUAUUGAUGUGGGAUGUAGAGAGCACCCUCUAGUGAUCACUGAGGGAUAUUAUAACUAAGAAAAAGAAAGUCUCCAAAAUAGCCACUUAAAAGUAACAAUUUUAUUUUAAUCCAUUAAAAGCAUAAGUAACCCCUUACAAACAUAGUCUUACGCGUUUAAUGCUUUCCCAGGUGGAUUGAUUUUCUCAUACUCUUUAUAGGGGUGCACAUUAGGUAGGGAUACCCACCCUGUAUGGGAUUAAUCUCUAAAAACAAUUAACAUUUCUGGCUUUCCUAAUUGCCUCUUUGCAGCUGUGACAGUAGGAGCAGAACAUGUGAGGGGAUCAGUCGGGGGGACAGUGCUAUUACCCUGCACUUACCCUGUUACUGGAGGUACCACCAGUAUGUGCUGGGGUCGAGGCCAUUGACCAAAUUCCAAAUGUCUGGAUCCGAUCCUCAGGACUGAAAGUGAUGGGAAGGAAGUUACCUGGCACCAAUCAGAGAGAUACAGAUUAUUGGGGAACAUAGAACAGGGGGACGUGUCUCUCACCAUCACCCAACUGACCAUCAGUGACUCCGAAACCUACUGCUGCAGGGUGGAGAUCCCUGGUUUGUUCAACGACCAAAAGGUGGAGAUGGAGGUGGAGUCAGUGUAGAUGAAGCACAGACAAAUCUCUCUAGCCCUGUCAUUCCAACCAGAACAUCCAGUGAAGCAGUAUCAAAUAGCUCAGCAUCCCCUGCUGCAUCCAGCUCAGAUCAUGUGAAUACAGGUAAGACUGCAGUCAGAACGACAAACACCUAAAUAAAAUUUUACUUAGGGGUUUCUCCAUAUUGAGAUCCAAUAUUUGUUCAAAGCUAUAGGGGUGUGCUUCUCCCAAUACAAGGUUGUUCGGCUUGUAAGCAGCCGGAGAACUGAAUGCACCCUUGAAAUAAGUGGUGUGCUGAAGAAGGACAUCCUCCCUAAAUCUCACCCUAACUGGCAUUCAGGUUGGGUUCCCUCAGCCACUGCUCCAGGCCACCGUACAGAGGAACAACCUCAUAAUUUUGGAGCAACUACAUAAAGCCUUUGGGAUGAUGGGUCAUGCCCCCUGCUUGUUUUUAUUAAGGAAAUGAUUACAUUAGAGGAGAGCAAUUGGGGUAAAGUAUGACAUGCACCAAAAAAUACAUGUACAGGUAUCGGACCUUGUAGC